rnacentral:rRNA from 1 species
UUGCGCCGGGUCUCUUCUUCUGGUGAGCUGGAGUGCUCUUUAUUGGGUGCACCAGGGAACCAGGACUAUUACCUUGAAAAAAUUAGAGUGUUUAAAGCGGGCAUUUGCUUGAAUACAUUAGCAUGGAAUAAUGAAAUAGGACGACGGUUCUAUUUUGUUGGUUAUAGGACCAUCGUAAUGAUUAAUAGGGAUAGUUGGGGGCAUUAGUAUUCAAUUGUCAGAGGUGAAAUUCUUGGAUUUAUUGAAGACUAACUACUGCGAAAGCAUUUGCCAAGGAUGUUUUCAUUAAUCAAGAACGAAAGUUAGGGGAUCGAAGACGAUCAGAUACCGUCGUAGUCUUAACCAUAAACUAUGCCGACUAGGAAUCGGGCGAUGUUAUUUUAAUGACUCGCUCGGCACCUUAUG